UGAAUACGAGAUGCUACGGCGUCGAAGCAGUCUAUGUCAUACUUCCAAGAAAAGCUUGCACUGUCAUAAACAAAUAAUGCCUGUACCAUAACCGACACAGGUGGGUAGGUAGAGUAUACUAAGGGGCGCGAGAUAACUCUCUCUAAGGAACUCGGCAAAAUGACUCCGUAACUUCGGGAGAAGGAGUGCCUUAUUUAUAAGGUUGCAAUAACAAGAUCCAAGCAACUGUUUACCAAAAACACAGGUCUCCGCUAAGUCGUAAGACGAUGUAUGGGGGCUGACGCCUGCCCAGUGCCAGAAGGUUAAAGAAGUUGGUUAGCAUCCGCGAAGCUGAUAACUGAAGCCCUGGUGAACGGCGGCCGUAACGAUAACGGUCCUAAGGUAGCGAAAUUCCUUGUCGGGUAAGUUCCGACCCGCACGAAAGGCGUAAUGAUUUGGAUACUGUCUCGGAGAGGGGCUCGGUGAAAUAGACUUGUCUGUGAAGAUGCGGACUACCUGCACCAGGACAGAAAGACCCUAUGAAGCUUUACUGUAACCUGAAAUUGAAAUUGGACUUUACUUGCGCAGUAUAGGUGGGAGGCGUUGAGAAUAUUCUUGCGGGAUUAUUGGAGCCAUCAGUGAGAUACCACUCUUGUAAUGUUAGAUUUCUAACUUUGUAUCAUUAUCUGGUCAAAGAACAGUUUCAGGCGGGCAGUUUGACUGGGGCGGUCGCCUCCUAAACGGUAACGGAGGCGCACAAAGGUUUCCUCUGAACGGGUAGAAAUCGUAUCUAGAGUGUAAAGGCAUAAGGAAGCUUGACUGUGAGACCUACAAGUCGAGCAGGGACGAAAGUCGGUCUUAGUGAUCUGACGGUGCUGAGUGGAAAGGCCGUCACUCAACGGAUAAAAGUUACUCUAGGGAUAACAGGCUGAUCUCCCCCAAGAGUUCACAUCGACGGGGAGGUUUGGCACCUCGAUGUCGGCUCAUCGCAUCCUGGGGCGGUAGUACGUCCCAAGGGUUGGGCUGUUCGCCCAUGAAAGCGGUACGCGAGCUGGGCUCAGAACGUCGUGAGACAGUUCGGUCCAUAUCCGGUGUAGGCGUUAGAAUAUUGAGAGGAGCCUUCUUUAGUACGAGAGGACCGAGAAGGACAUACCUCUGGUGUACCAGUUAUCGUGCCAACGGUAAACGCUGGGUAGCUAUGUGUGGAGUGGAUAACCGCUGAAAGCAUCUAAGUGGGAAGCCCACCUCAAGAUAAGUAUUCUCU
rnacentral:rRNA from 1 species